AUGAAGAGGGCGGUGCCGGCCGCCGCGGCGGAUCUGGUGACGCCGGAGAAGACGGAGCCGCGGCCGCUGCUGCGCAGGGGCCGCAGCGGCGGCGCCGUGGCGCUGUCCGUCAAGGAGGUCCGCCGGGCGGCGCUCGAGCUGCAGCGCGCCGGCAGGGGCCCCGCGGCGGGGGUUGAUGCCGGGGAGGAGGACGCGCUCGAGUCCGUCGCGCGGGAGCUCGGCGUCGGCGCCGGCGCCGGCCGCAGCCCCGUCAAGCGCAGGCCCGAGGUCAAGCUGCCGGAGAGCUACGAGAUUCUCUGUGAGUUCUUCAACUGCUUCGAGAGCUCCACCCGGCUCCUCCGCAUGAAGGGAUCCAAGGCAACAUUCCCCAACAUCUGUGCUAGCAUUCAGAACUUGGCUGAGAGGAGGUUUACCUAUGGCCAUCUUGCACAGCUCAAGUACAUUAUGCCUGAGGCUAUUGUCAUCAACAAGAUCCUUUUGCGCGAUGACAAGACUUGCUGCAUGAAGCCGGAUCUUCAGGUGAACCUAUUGGUUGAUUCAGUUGGGGACAGUGUGAUGCAGAAGGGGGAAACCCGCUACUCUGCUUUGAGAAGGAUGUUCAGGCAGAGGCUUGUGGACUUCUUCAGGAAACAUCCUGAGGGAGAUGACAUCCCGGAGCAUGAGCUGCCGUAUCCAUUUACUCAAACAAAGUCAAGUGUGGCUCAGAGCACACCAAGAGUUGUUACUGAAGUUGUAUUUGCCGCGCCAUCACCAAGCCUGGCUGAGCAGCCGGCUGUUGCACUGUCGCACAUGUCCCAGUCUUUCAAGAGAAGGUUCUCACAGAGAUCUUCAACCUGCCCUGCAACUGCCAGCGCAACCGGUCUGCCGCCAAAGGCUGAGUCUACUGCUCCAUCUCCACUGGGCAGGAAGGUGAUGCUCAGUUCUACUUCUGGUGGCAUAGAUCACGAGUCCCAAGUGCAAGAGAAAAGUAGCAAGGAUGUUGCACUCAGGUUUGGUGUUACAGAAGGGACUCCUGCCAAGUUCGCCUCUACACCAGUGAGAUCAAUGGCAGCCACACCGAAUCUUGAGACCCCACAGAGGCCAAUAUCUGCUACUGUGUGUGACACGCCACCUCUAAAAACGGUCAAGCGAUCAGCUAGAGCCAAGUUGUUCAUGACACCUACAAAGGAUGCAAGCAGAAUGGAAGAAGAGAACCAAAGCAUGAGCAGCACAUCUCCAAGCGAUGGCGAUGAUGAGUUGCUCGGUUUCCUUCCAAAGUCCCUCUUGCAGUCGGUAAAGGAGAAGGAGAAGAGAACUUUGGAGGAGAAGGAAACAGGCUAUGCGGACCAGGUUCAGCGGCAGAAGCUCAUAUCAUGCCUGCCAAGCACCUUUGACAUCAUCUUCCUUAUCUAUCAAUCGAGGCAGCGAACUGUACUGACAAAGGAGGAGCUCAUCCACAAGAUAAUCGAAAGUAACCCGAAGAUUGUUGACAAGGGUGAAGUCGAAGAGCAAGUGAGACUGCUUCUAGAGUUUGUCCCAGAGUGGAUCUCUGAGAAGACUGCAAGAAAUGGAGAUGUUCUUUGCUGCAUCGAUACGGCACUGAGCCAGUUUGAGGUUCGACAAAGGUUGUCCGGCGUCGAGUAG
rnacentral:rRNA from 1 species